rnacentral:tRNA from 1 species
GAGGGUAUAGCUCAGUGGUAGAGCGCAUGCCUAGCAUGCAUGAGGUCCUGGGUUCACUCCCCAGUACCUCCU